AUAUCCAGCCCUCCGAGAUAAAACGAAACCUAAAAAUCUGCGUCAGAGUCAGAAUACGAAAAUCUAGGCGACAAGAGGCAGACUGAGCAUUUGAAGGCGAGUUCAUCCGGAACAGCAUCCUAUAACUUCUUACUGUUUUGUACGUGAUUCAUAUUAUCACUGUGGGUAUAAAGUUUCAGGACAGUCUACAAGGAGCAUGGCGCUGGCUUUCUGUGGGAACAUAUGCAAAUGCGUCUGUAUUAUUCUAAGUCUCAUUUAUGGGGUAGCUGGCCUUGUCCUGGGCGGCCUGGGUAUAUGGCUGAGGCUGAGUUCAAUGACACGUGGACUGUUUGAUGUCAAUCUAGACACUAAGCAAUUUAUAAUUGUUGUAAUCCUGCUGAUUGCAGUUGGACUGAUGCUGUUGUGCUUCGCAGUUUCCUCAUUAUGUGGUGCAUGCACUGAAUCUACUGAAAGCAUCAAUGUUGCAGGAUUAUUUUUGGGAUUACUCUUGGGAGGAGUAAUUGCAGGUGGAACUCUUGCUUUCAUUUUUAAAAAUACGGUUGCUCAAAAUCUUGGAGAAUUUUACACAGUGGUUUAUUUAAAAUAUUUGAACACCAGAGACGCCAGUCUGGCUAUCACUCUCAACUUAUUCCACAAUCUGUUUGAUUGCUGUGGAAUUGCCGGGGGUGUUUUGGAACCUUUUGUCAGUGAAACGUGUCCAGAAAAAGGACUGUGGGGCAAAAUUACCACAAUGGCCUGUCCUUCUAUCAUACUGGACAUGUUUAACUCUUCUGGAGGAGCCAUACUUGGUAUCUUCAUAGCAGUGGCUGUAUUCAUGGUGAUGACAGGUAUCUUCAAUGGCAUACUACACACGGAAAUUAAAAAAGACAAGAAUCAAGUAUCCCAAGAGGCCUUGCCACUGCAUAUGCACAUGUACAAAUUUUAAAGACUGCCAUUUCAUACUUCUUUUUUGUCCUCAACCUACAUCUGAUUAUAUUGCACUCUCUCUUCUCUUCUGAGAAGUUGUAGUGAUGUACCAGUAUUGACAUCUGAGGACAGGCUUUUUGUGCUGUACAGGCAACAGUCCUUGAUUUGUUCUGUUUAGCUCGAUGCCAAAAUCUAUGCAUAGUUUUAUUAGAAAAGGGAUGUUUGCAGCUUUCUUUUAGACCAUUUAUCUUUCAUUCAAGCCACUUCCUUCUCUUUAGAAUUUCAGCACAUCAGACUUUGUGAAACCAUGUAGAUAUUACAUAGGACAUCUUUAACAAGGUAAUCAACAAACAUUCCACAUCAACAGCAUCAAAACCUUCUAAAAAAGGAGCACAUUGACUCCAUCUGAAAACUGAUCUUUCUGUCCAUUAGAGUGCCUUGUUGUGGGCAGCUGUCACUGAGAGUUCCUCAGAGUUUUGUAGAUCAACAUGUGUUUAUGUGGUUGUCAAACAUUUUAUUUAAGGUUUUCUUAAUGUAUGGAUUCUUUUACAUUUAUUGAUUUAUUUGUAAAUCUAUCAUAAUAGGUAUUAUAAAGAGUGCAAACAGAGCAAAAA